GGAACAUUCUGGAAUGUAGUCAGCAGGCAGGUCAGGGAGACAGACCAAUCAGCAGUAUCCUUCUUGCUGAUCCUGGCAGGUUGCUGAAGAAUCUGAGCAGAGAUGGGGAUGGGGGCUGGAAAGUCUGGUUACAAAAGAAACCACUUAGGUCAGACAAUAACAAGGGAGAAAGUGCUCAGCGCACUGAAGAGCCCACAGAGCUGCUCAGCCUAUUGUGACAACUGUUUGUGAAAGCCUUCCCACCCUUGCGGUAAGGGUUCACUCAGGUCUUCUCCAGAUGGGAAAUGGGCCAGAUCCAAAAACUCUUGCUCAGGGGUUUCAAGCUACUCCAGAAACCCGCAGCAAUCCUAUAAACAGCCACACGUUGAAUUUUCUGCCUGCCGAGCUCCAGGGUCCACAGGAGCCAGUAUUUGUGGCGCAGAGAGAGGCAGAAGAGCUUUGUGACAGAGAGCUGGGAGCUGGGUAAGAUUCUCUGUUCUUCAGCGGUUUAUCGCCAUCUCGCAGCAUCCGGUUGUGUAAUGCUUAUCGCUUGCUGCUCCUCGGGGGAUGUCUGUGUUGGUGUGUCUGAGUGCCUCAGUCUUCAGGUUCUGAGUUGCAGCUUUGCUCUGACCACGAGAACAUUCCAGGCAUCAAUGGAAGCUAUUCAUCCACAGCAGAUUUUAACUGGCCAUGCAACACAUUUGGUUUUCUUUGUAACUGAAAUAUGGAAUCCCCAUCUCCCCAUCUUUUUUUUUAAAGUUCACGAUUCGAAGUCCACCCUUCCAGAGGGGCCCGAUGAAGCGGAUGGAUUAUUAGAAGGUUGCCUGGUAGAAACAGACUGAAAGCAAAGAAGUGGAGUGGUUUUGAGAGACUUUCAUUAAACAUGUCAGAAUAAUCCAAGAGUUAUCAGUAUUUCUGUACAGUAUGCCUUCCUAGCAAACAUGAAGAAGAAGAGUCUACUUUUUAUACUUCAUAUGAACAUGAGAACUGAGGUCAUCAACCUCCUGGUCAAUGGGAUGACAGAUGUUGAAGCGAGCUCAGAGGUUAUUCCUACAUACAUUCCUGAGGGUGGAGAAGCUAGGGGGCAUUUACCCACUACCAAGUACUAUGUGAAGUGCUCUAUCUAUCUAUCUAUCUAUCUCAUUUAAUGCUUAUAACAACCCCAUGAAAUCGAUGUUAUAUAUAUCCUUGUAGUGGUUUGAAUUAUGUCCCCCCAAAAGAUAUGUCUACGUCCUAAUCCCAGGUACCUCUGAAUGUGACCUUAUUUGGAAAUAGGAUCUUUGUAGAUAGAUUUAGUUAAGAUAAGGUCAUAGUGGAUUAAGAUGGACCCUUAAUCAAAUGACCUGUGUUCUUGUAAGAGGAGAAGACAGAAACACAGAAUGCAUAGUUGGAAGAUGAUGUGAAGACACAGAAGAAAAUACCAUGGGACAGUUAAAAGCUUGGAGUGAUGCAUCCACAAGCCAAGGAAUGCCAAAGGUUGCUGGUAACCACUAGAAGCUAGAAAAGGCAAGGGAGACUUCUUCCCUAAAGGCUUCUAAUGGAGCAUGGCCCUACUGACGCCUGGAUUUCAGACUGCAAGGGAAUAAAUUUCUGUUGUUUAAGGCUCUGGGUUUGUGG
ensembl:lncRNA